GACGAACCGUGCGACCGUUGUUCGGAAUCACUGGGCAUAAAGGGCGCGUAGGCGGCUUACCAAGUCAGGGGUGAAAUCCGGCAGCUCAACUGUCGAAGUGCCUUUGAUACUGACGAGCUCGAGGGAGAUAGGGGUGUGUGGAACUUCCGGUGGAGCGGUGAAAUGCGUUGAUAUCGGAAGGAACGCCGGUGGCGAAAGCGACACACUGGAUCUCUUCUGACGCUGAGGCGCGAAAGCCAGGGGAGCAAACGGG
rnacentral:rRNA from 1 species